rnacentral:rRNA from 1 species
UUAUGACAUAACUAACGGUCGGGCAAUACGAGCAACUGCUUAAAACCCAAAGAACUUUGGCGGUAUCUUAUAAAAUCAGGGGAACCUGUCACUUAAUACGAUAGUCCACGAAAAAUUUACCUUUAUUAGAAACCUCAGCCUGUGUACUGCUGUCGUCAGUAGACCUCUAAAAGCAAGUCUACAACUAUAUUAUUAAUAUUCACGUCAAGUCAAAGUGCAGCCAAUAUAAAGGAGUAGAUGGGUUACAAUCUAAAAAUAGAAACGAAUCUAUUUAUAAUAGUGAAGGUGGACUUGAUAGUACAUAACCUAAAAUUAUGAAAUUAAAUCUAAGAAUGCACACAUCGCCCGUCACUCUCGUCUAAAGAUA